GUCACCGUGUACUCACCGAAUGGAGGAAAGGAAGUCAGACAGACUUCCGCUGAGUCAUAUGGGUGCGUUCGCGUGGAGAAAACAUACGGUAAAAACACACCUCUUUUAUUUUUGAUUUGGGUAAGCACUUUUGUAAUCACACGUGAAUUAUGGUUAAUAAUCGUAAAUGUGUUAUUGAAUAUUUUGUCUGUAAAAUUUCAUCCGCAACAACUAUCCAACCGUGGAGCAUCUUGGGAAGAGUAGUUUUACCAAAGACAUUUAUAACUACCCCAAGAUCGUUCAUCUCUGUCGUUUACAGUAGGAGCAAAUUAAGCAUAAAUCGGCAGAACAAGCAAGGAGGUGGGCAAAGCGAAGCAUUGCAAGCGGCUAGUGGGGAUCCAUAAUAAAUACAAAUACAAUAUAAAUGUUGGCACAUUAUAGCAUUUAUUUGCAUAGUUCCAUUAAGGAUCGCCUCAUCUAAUGUGCGAGUGUGAACAAACUCAAUUCGACCUUGCGCUCAAACAAAACUUUUUUACUUUUUUUUUUUACUUUAGCAAAGUGUCAAGUCUCUAAAACUUCGUGCACUGUAUUCGUAAGCGAUUCUUGUUUUUGGAACAGAACACUGAGAUCAUUUGUUUCAUCAAUGAGAAAAUUGGCAGAAUGUCGACCCAGUUUCAGCAAGUUCCAUCUUCUCCCACUACCUGCGACUAGAUUUCCUCUCACUAACAUAUUUGGUGGUGAGAAGAUGUUCUAACGGGAUUCUACAACUUGAUAGCCACUGUGAUGUGUUUGGGUUUUACCACAGAUACAACAAUGACACAGAUAUUUCACCAGAUGUAUAAAUGUGAAACACCCGCUUGGCGUUUCCACUCACUACCAAACAUCGCAUUGAGAAGAAACCCAGUGGCCGGCAGCGGGAGAAGAUGGAUUUUGUCCGAGAUUCUGCAUAAAUUUCUCAUCGAUGAAACAAAGACCUGAGCCCUAGGACCAUGCCUCAAGACUACCUGACAUGAUGACUCCUUGCUGUCCCCAGUCCACCUGGCCGUGCUGCUGCUCCAGUUUCAACUGUUCUGCCUUAUUAUUAUUGGACCAUGCUGGUCAUUUAUGAACAUUUGAACAUCUUGGCCAUGUUCUGUUAUAAUCUCCACCCGGCACAGCCAGAAGAGGACUGGCCACCCCACAUAGCCUGGUUCCUCUCUAGGUUUCUUCCUAGGUUUUGGCCUUUCUAGGGAGUUUUUCCUAGCCACCGUGCUUCUACACCUGCAUUGCUUGCUGUUUGGGGUUUUAGGCUGGGUUUCUGUACAGCACUUUGAGAUAUCAGCUGAUGUACGAAGGGCUAUAUAAAUACAUUUGAUUUGAUUUGAUUUAUUUAUGUUUUCAAUAAACAUUGAAGAUGAGAGUUUA